AACGUAGGAUCCGAGCGUUAUCCGAAUUCACUGGGCGUAAAGCGCGUGCAGGCGGUUCAGUAAGUUGGAUGUAAAAUCUCCUGGCUCAACUGGGAGGGGACGUUCAAUACUGUUGGACUAGAGGACGGCAGAGGGAGGUGGAAUUCCCGGUGUAGUGGUGAAAUGCGUAGAUAUCGGGAGGAACACCAGUGGCGAAGGCGGCCUUCUGGGCCGUACCUGACGCUCAGACGCGAAAGCUAGGGGAGCGAAC
rnacentral:rRNA from 1 species